rnacentral:misc_RNA from 1 species
GAUGAAGAACGUAGCGAAAUGCGAUAAGUAAUGUGAAUUGCAGAAUUCAGUGAAUCAUCGAAUCUUUGAACGCACAUUGCGCCCUCUGGUAUUCCGGGGGGCAUGCCUGUUCGAGCGUCAUUAUAACCACUCAAGCUCUCGCUUGGUAUUGGAGUUCGCGAUCUCGCGGCUCCUAAAAUCAGUGGCGGUGCCUGUCGGCUCUACGCGUAGUAAUACUUCUCGCGAUUGAGUCCGGUAGGUUUACUUGCCAGCAACCCCCAAUUUUUACAGGUUGACCUCGGAUCAGGUAGGGAUACCCGCUGAACUUAAGCAUAUCAACAAGCGGAGGA